ACCAUGAGUGACAGAGGGACUCAAAUGACCACAACAUUUAUGCUCUUUGAAUAAUCACUUUCAAUUACAAUUACAAAAGUGAAUACUGAAAACAUCUGUGAAAUCACACAGUUUCCUUCUGUAACGCAUUUGGAUCUCGGAUAAUACAACUCAUUUUGAACGUUCUGAUGAAGGCAUGACGUCUAGCAAGUCUCAGAUUGAAAACAAAAAAAAAACAAAAAAACACUUCGGUUAGAAAUUCCUGCAGAAAGAAACGGUGAAAUUUAGACAUUUUUAUUUGCAAGAUCUCGUCCAGUCGUCCGUCGGUACCGUCACUUGGAGAAUGCGGAUUGUGGACUUGGAGAAUAAUGAAUUGAU